ACGCUCGACACCUACGGAGGCAGCAGUGGGGAAUAUUGCACAAUGGGGGAAACCCUGAUGCAGCGACGCCGCGUGAGCGAAGAAGUAUCUCGGUAUGUAAAGCUCUAUCAGCAGGGAAGAAGAUGACGGUACCUGACUAAGAAGCACCGGCUAAAUACGUGCCGNNGCGCGUAUNUGNGCGGCGUGNGAG
rnacentral:rRNA from 1 species